rnacentral:rRNA from 1 species
AACGCUAGCUACAGGCUUAACACAUGCAAGUCGAGGGGCAGCGGGGAGGAAAGCUUGCUUUUCUCUGCCGGCGACCGGCGCACGGGUGAGUAACACGUAUGCAACCUGCCCGGCACAGGGGGAUAAUCGGAAGAAAUUCCGUCUAAUACCGCGUAACACCUUCGGGAGACAUCUUUCGGGGGUCAAAGGAAGCAAUUCCGGUGUCGGAUGGGCAUGCGUCGCAUUAGCUAGUCGGCGGGGUAACGGCCCACCGAGGCGACGAUGCGUAGGGGUUCUGAGAGGAAGGUCCCCCACACUGGUACUGAGACACGGACCAGACUCCUACGGGAGGCAGCAGUGAGGAAUAUUGGUCAAUGGGCGAUAGCCUGAACCAGCCAAGUCGCGUGAGGGAAGACGGUCCUAUGGAUUGUAAACCUCUUUUGCCGGGGAGCAAAGGCGCCACGUGUGGCGAGCUGAGAGUACCCGGAGAAAAAGCAUCGGCUAACUCCGUGCCAGCAGCCGCGGUAAUACGGAGGAUGCGAGCGUUAUCCGGAUUUAUUGGGUUUAAAGGGUGCGUAGGCGGUCUGUCAAGUCAGCGGUCAAAUCGAGGGGCUCAACCCCUUUCCGCCGUUGAAACUGGUGGGCUUGAGUGGGCGAGAAGUAUGCGGAAUGCGAGGUGUAGCGGUGAAAUGCAUAGAUAUCACGAAGAACUCCGAUUG